GCGAGAGUAGCUCAGUUGAUAGAGCGCCACCUUGCCAAGGUGGAGGUCGCCGGUUUGAGCCCGGUCUCCCGCU
rnacentral:tRNA from 1 species